CACGUAGGGUGCGAGCGUUGUCCGGAAUUAUUGGGCGUAAAGAGCUCGUAGGCGGUGUGUCGCGUCGGCCGUGAAAACCUGCAGCUUAACUGUGGGCGUGCGGGCGAUACGGGCAGACUAGAGUACUGCAGGGGAGACUGGAAUUCCUGGUGUAGCGGUGGAAUGCGCAGAUAUCAGGAGGAACACCGGUGGCGAAGGCGGGUCUCUGGGCCGUAACUGACGCUGAGGAGCGAAAGCGUGGGGAGCAAACAGG
rnacentral:rRNA from 1 species